rnacentral:rRNA from 1 species
GAUGAACGCUGGCGGCGUGCUUAACACAUGCAAGUCGAACGGAAAGGCUCCUGCUUGCAGGGGUACUCGAGUGGCGAACGGGUGAGUAACACGUGGGUGAUCUGCCCUUCACUUCGGGAUAUGCCUUGGAAACUCGGGCUAAUACCGGGUAGGACGAUGGUUUCGAUGCCAUUGUGGAAAGUUUGUCGGUGUGGGGUGAGCUCGCGGGGUAUCAGCUUGUUGGUGGGGUAAUGGGUUACCAAGGCGUCGACGGGUAGGCGGCCUGAGAGGGUGUACGGCCACCCUGGGACUGAGGUAAGGCCCCGGCACGGACGGGUGGCAGCAGUGGGGAAGCUUGCAGAAUGGGCGCCGGCCGGAUGCAGCGGGGCCGCGGGGGGGAUGACGGUCUUCGGGUUGAAAAAUAAAUGCGCUAGGGACGAAGCGUUUUGUGACGGUACCUGGAGAAGAAGCACCGGCUAACUACGUG